AAUCAACGCUGGCGGCGUGCCUAACACAUGCAAGUCGAACGAGAAAGGGUAGCAAUACCUGAGUAAAGUGGCGCACGGGUGAGUAACACGUGACUAACCUACCCUGGAGUGGGGGAUAACUGGGAGAAAUCCUAGCUAAUACCGCAUAACACCUACGGGUCAAAGGAGCAAUUCGCUUUGGGAGGGGGUCGCGGUCGAUUAGUUUGUUGGCGGGUAAUGGCCCACCAAGACUAUGAUCGAUAUCCGGCCUGAGAGGGCGCACGGACACACUGGAACUGAAACACGGUCCAGACUCCUACGGGAGGCAGCAGUGGGGAAUUUUGCGCAAUGGGGGAAACCCUGACGCAGCAACGCCGCGUGGAGGAUGAAGUACUUCGGUACGUAA
rnacentral:rRNA from 1 species